CGCACGGGUGAGUAACACGUAUCCAACCCGCCGAUGACUCGGGGAUAGCCUUUCGAAAGAAAGAUUAAUACCCGAUGGCAUAGUUCUUCCGCAUGGUGGAACUAUUAAAGAAUUUCGGUCAUCGAUGGGGAUGCGUUCCAUUAGGUUGUUGGCGGGGUAACGGCCCACCAAGCCUUCGAUGGAUAGGGGUUCUGAGAGGAAGGUCCCCCACAUUGGAACUGAGACACGGUCCAAACUCCUACGGGAGGCAGCAUG
rnacentral:rRNA from 1 species